GACGAGCGCUGGCGGCGUGCUUAACACAUGCAAGUCGAACGAUGAAGCUAGAGCUUGCUCCGGUGGAUUAGUGGCGAACGGGUGAGUAACACGUGAGCAAUCUGCCCUUGACUCUGGGAUAACUGCGGGAAACUGUAGCUAAUACCGGAUACGACACCUUGGGGCAUCCCAGGGUGUGGAAAGAAUUUCGGUCAAGGAUGAGCUCGCGGCCUAUCAGCUAGUUGGUGAGGUAAUGGCUCACCAAGGCGAAGACGGGUAGCCGGCCUGAGAGGGUGACCGGCCACACUGGAACUGAGACACGGUCCAGACUCCUACGGGAGGCAGCAGUGGGGAAUAUUGCACAAUGGGCGAAAGCCUGAUGCAGCAACGCCGCGUGAGGGAUGAAGGCCUUCGGGUUGUAAACCUCUUUUAGCAGGGAAGAAGCGAAAGUGACGGUACCUGCAGAAAAAGCACCGGCUAACUACGUGCCAGCCGCCGCAGUAA
rnacentral:rRNA from 1 species